rnacentral:rRNA from 1 species
AUUGAACGCUCGCGGCAGGCCUAACACAUGCAAGUCGAGCGAGCGGCGGACGGGUGAGUAAUGUCUGGGAAACUGCCCGAUGGAGGGGGAUAACUACUGGAAACGGUAGCUAAUACCGCAUACCAUCAGAUGUGCCCAGAUGGGAUUAGCUAGUAGGGGGGGUAACGGCUCACCUAGGCGACGAUCCCUAGCUGGUCUGUGAGGAUGACCAACCAAACAGGAAAUGAGACACAGUCCAGUCUCCUACGGGAGGCAACAGUGGGGGAUAUUGCACAAAGGGCGCAAGCCUGGUGCAACCAUGCCGCGUGUGAGAAGAAGGCAUUAUGGUUGUAAAGCACUUUAAAGGAGGAGGCGUUACUCGCAGAAUAAGCACCGGCUAACUCUGUGCCAGCAGCCGCGGUAAUAC